UGCUCUCUCUCUUCUUUCUAACUACUGGUGCCAUUGUUCGGCCGGCGAUGGUUGCUCCUGCUCCUGUUCGUUCUGGACGGCGCCGUCGGGGUCGUCCUCCUGGGAUUCGGGCAGCCGUUAUUGCCCGUGUACGCCGUGCCGGCAUGCCUAUUUCUUCUGCGGAUUCCUCGUCGGUGACGGCAGGCGCUGCUCUGCGUGGUCGGUUGGCUGGGGUCGGUUCAGGACGGCGUUCCCGCUCCGCGGCGGCUCGACGGCCGCUUAGUUCUCGCCGGGCUGGCUGCCAGCGUUCUGACUCGCCGGCGACGUGCUCAGCUCUACACGGAGAUAACCACGUCUGCUUGGCGGUGGCUCUCCACGCCAGCGCCCGUUCCUUCUUCACCCGACGACGAUGGCAGCGCCGUGAUCGCAUAGCCUGCGGCCUUCCACAGCGAGCGGCCCGCCGAUCACGCUCGAGGUCGCCCUGGUAACCGACUUAUCGCCAACGACGUCGAUGAUUGCGGCGAGCUCGCCCACGGAGGGCACCCAGUGCAGCCCUACACCGUUCCACGGUCGUGGAGCGACGGCGUCUGCACCAGACCAGCCCAGAAUACUGCUGCUCCUCUAAGUCGCAGUUCCAGUUUCUCAGAGGGGCGCCACAGUGGGGGGAGACGUCGACGACGCGGCAUGCGGCGCAGAGCAGGGGGGUGCCGCCAGCGGAAGGAGACCGUGUUGCCGUUGUGGAUAUGGCGGUCGCACGGCAAGCAGAGCCCCACUGUUUCCGCCCGGAAGUAUACCACGGCCAGCGCGACGGAGCAUUAGCACUCCGUUGUGGGCACCAUGUCGGCGGCAACCCCUGGCACCAUGCAUGUAUUACUCCACGGAGGGAGUAUGUAAUAGGAGUAGUUUUUAUAGUAAACAGAUGAAGAAUGGCAUGUGCAUGUGGUUCUUGGCUAGAUGCCACUACACGGAGGAUGCGGUGAUCCUGUAUUUUCAUGCAGGUUCAUUGCACUCUACGCGUGCGGCAGUUGCGACACCUCGCAUCUCGAUCGAUCCUGGCAAAGCUAAUUUGUUCGCCGGCAGCCUCUAUGCUAUAGGAGCUAUGCAUAUGUUUCAUGAUUACGGCCUCUCUGAAUUCAGAAUAUAUGAAUAGACCAUGCAUGACCGGGUGUAUACAUCCGUUAGUUCAACUAGCUAGCUAGCAAGGAAAAAGGCAGAACCAAGAAAGAGAUCGCAUGCAAGCCUUUGUUCAGGUGUGUCUGUAGCUCGGUGCUUAGCACUUUUGGCUUUUCUAUAUACGGUGCAGCCGGUUUCGACUUGCAUGUGUAUUCUGAAUUUAGAAUAUAUGAAUGUUUGUCUUCU